GACGAACGCUGGCGGCGUGCUUAACACAUGCAAGUCGAACGGAAAGGCCCUGCUUUUGUGGGGUGCUCGAGUGGCGAACGGGUGAGUAACACGUGAGUAACCUGCCCUUGACUUUGGGAUAACUUCAGGAAACUGGGGCUAAUACCGGAUAGGAGCCCCUGCUGCAUGGUGGGGGUUGGAAAGUUUCGGCGGUUGGGGAUGGACUCGCGGCUUAUCAGCUUGUUGGUGGGGUAGUGGCUUACCAAGGCUUUGACGGGUAGCCGGCCUGAGAGGGUGACCGGCCACAUUGGGACUGAGAUACGGCCCAGACUCCUACGGGAGGCAGCAGUGGGGAAUAUUGCACAAUGGGCGGAAGCCUGAUGCAGCAACGCCGCGUGCGGGAUGACGGCCUUCGGGUUGUAAACCGCUUUCGCCUGUGACGAAGCGUGAGUGACGGUAAUGGGUAAAGAAGCACCGGCUAACUACGUGC
rnacentral:rRNA from 1 species